rfam:Prevotella sp. CAG:255 genomic scaffold, scf234
GGGGUUGACCGGAUUUGACAGCGGGUUGGAAUGGUACGUAAGCACGCGGAGCGUGGUCUGUUUGCUCCUAAAUCUCAGCGGUCAUAAAUUUAUCUGGCGAAAACAAAUACGCUCUCGCUGCCUAAUCGAAGCAUAGUAGAUUAUCGGCUUAAUCCAGUCACAAGGUGACAGGACGAGACACUGCUCGAAAGCUGUUGUUCCGAAGCGUUUCGGUAAAGCGGUGCGGUUAAAUCGGAAAUAGUCUUGUGCGGCCCCGCACUCAAGAUGAAGUUUUAGGGGAUAAGGUUGCAGUUGGUGGUCCGGGUCUUGCUGCAGCUCGAAAACCGAAGGCCGGAAUAAGCGUGUAGAAAGCGUAUGGUUUCCCUGUUUGGACGAGGGUUCGAAUCCCUCCAGCUCCACAC